rnacentral:rRNA from 1 species
AUUGAACGCUGGCGGCAGGCCUAACACAUGCAAGUCGAACGAGUGGCGGACUGGUGAGUAAUGUCUGGGAAACUGCCUGAUGGAGGGGGAUAACUACUGGAAACGGUAGCUAAUACCGCAUACCAUCAGAUGGGCCCAGACUGGAUUAGCUUGUGGGGGGGGGAAAUGCUCAUCAAGACGACGAUCCCUAGCUGGUCUGAGAGGCUGACCAGCCACACUGGAACUGAGACACGGUCCAGACUCCUACGGGAGGCAGCAGUGGGGAAUAGUGCACAAUGGGCGCAAGCCUGAUGCAGCCAUGCCGCGUGUAUGAAGAAGGCCUUCGGGUUGUAAAGUACUUUCAGCGGGGAGGCGUUACCCGCCGAAGAAGCACCGGCUAACUCCGUGCCAGCAGCCGCGGUAAUUC